GGGGAUAACACUGAGAAAUUGGUACUAAUACCCCAUAAUAUCAUAGAAGGCAUCUUUUAUGGUUGAAAAUUCCGAUGGUUAGAGAUGGGCAUGCGUUGUAUUAGCUAGUUGGUGGGGUAACGGCUCACCAAGGCGACGAUACAUAGGGGGACUGAGAGGUUAACCCCCCACACUGGUACUGAGACACGGACCAGACUCCUACGGGAGGCAGCAGUGAGGAAUAUUGGUCAAUGGACGCAAGUCUGAACCAGCCAUGCCGCGUGCAGGAUGACGGCUCUAUGAGUUGUAAACUGCUUUUGUACGAGGGUAAACGCAGAUACGUGUAUCUGUCUGAAAGUAUCGUACGAAUAAGGAUCGGCUAACUCCGUGCCAGCAGCCGCGGUAAUACGGAGGAUUCAAGCGUUAUCCGGAUUUAUUGGGUUUAAAGGGUGCGUAGGCGGUUUGAUAAGUUAGAGGUGAAAUUUCGGGGCUCAACCCUGAACGUGCCUCUAAUACUGUUGAGCUAGAGAGUAGUUGCGGUAGGCGGAAUGUAUGGUGUAGCGGUGAAAUGCUUAGAGAUCAUACAGAACACCGAUUGCGAAGGCAGCUUACCAAACUAUAUCUGACGUUGAGGCACGAAAGCGUGGGGAGCAAACAGGAUUAGAUACCCUGGUAGUCCACGCAGUAAACGAUGAUAACUCGUUGUCGGCGAUACACAGUCGGUGACUAAGCGAAAGCGAUAAGUUAUCCACCUGGGGAG
rnacentral:rRNA from 1 species